UGAAAAUUUUUAGCAGGUUUGUGAAGCUUCAUGAAGUUAACUACUACAUCUAGUUAAAGAGAAACAAUGUCCGUCCAGGGGCGGAUCCAGGAUUUGAACAUUGGGGGGGCCAAAACUUGUGCCGCUACAUUCAUUGUCGAUGGUACUCUAAUUACUACAUCAAGCUGAAGCGUCUGAGUAUUCGAAUUGCUUUCCUCUCACAUUCGUGACAUUCUUCACAUGCAGGUACUCCUUAUCUACAACUCUAUUUGCCAUCAAACAAAAAUAUAUAUAGCUUUCACCUGCUCAACUUCACCUAUAGAGCCCAGUAAAUUCUUCACUGUUGACCAACAUAACUCGAUGUUUUUCAGGGGGUCUAUUUGUUGAUCGCAAAAUGCCUCUAUUUGGCAUCCUAUUAUCAAUAUAUACACUAUUUCCAUUCCCUGAAUUUUGUAAUAGCAGAUCUGGAGUUUGUCAAUGUUUUUCUUUGGCUUAGUUUAUCCUUUGUUGAAUGUUCAUUGUAUCUUAUUCUUUGGAACACUCCAGUCUAGUAGAUAUGGAGUCUGUCAAGUCUGCAACUGAAGAGUAGAGACCUCCUCCACACUGACAGCACCCUACUUUUAUCUUUCUCGUUGUUAGCGACCUCAACGCCACUGGCUACGCAAUAUGCUUCAGUGUUGGGAUAAACCUUCACCAUGAUCCACCAACUUUUGGUUUCUCCGGACGACAAUUUUGAAAAGAGAUCUCUGCUUGAGUGUCUUCAAAUUUUGCUCAUGAGAAGAGAGCUAAAAGCAGGACUGAUCCAGGAUUUACACAUGGACUGGGGUGGGGGGGCCAUGGCCCCCCCAAGUCACUAUGUAAAUCCGCCUCUGUGUCCGUCAUUUAUGAUUUUGGUUGGAUUCCCUCAUCUACAAUUAUAUUAUUUUUGUAAGCCAAUGAAAUAAAUUUUGCUAUUCAUUUAUUACAAAUGGAAUAUCCAACAUGCUUAUGGCCCCUUUAACUGAUUACUAUGCUCAACUAGAUCCUAAUCAGAAAGGUUCUUAUUGGUAUCACGAAUCCUAUUUGUUAGGCUUCUUUUUUACAAAUGUUUCUCAGUAAGACUUCCUUGAGUGACUGUUGUUUGGAUUCAUAUAUAUUCCAUUAGUCGUCGUCAGUUAUUUCUGUUAGUCUACCUAAACAUUUCCCUUCGGCUGUAGUUCCAAUUCAAUUGAUGAAAUUUUUAGGCAUUGAUUAUCAGGUGGGCUUUAGUGUGGAACAUGGAUGUUGCUGUCAAAAUGGCCAAGUUUAUAGAGCUAGAUGCCAUCAAAGGACUCACAGUUCCGGGCAGCUAAGAUCAUCAGAGUUGUCUAGGAUGGUUAUCAUCUACCAAUCCCCAAGAACAAGUAUAAGCUCUUUGAAUUCGGCCGACAACAUAUGUGCAUGAGAUGGAAGAAGUUGCGAGGAGCUCUAAAGUUCUCAGAGGAAAGGGCUGAAAUCUAUCCAGCUUUUGCAUGGCUUAAAUGUGAAAAGGAGGAGGGAGUAGAAGACUGCGACAGUUUCUUAAGGAAUCACAAGAUCCUGACUCAAGCAGCGGCAUUUUGGUGCAAUGGCAAGGGUGUCAGAAAUGUAAAAAUUAGAAUCAUAAAAAUA